rnacentral:rRNA from 1 species
GGGUGAGUAACACGUGGGCAACCUGCCCUGCAGAUCGGGAUAACUCCGGGAAACCGGUGCUAAUACCGAAUAGUUUGCGGCCUCUCCUGAGGCUGUACGGAAAGACGGUUUCGGCUGUCACUGCAGGAUGGGCCCGCGGCGCAUUAGCUAGUUGGUGGGGUAAUGGCCUACCAAGGCGACGAUGCGUAACCGACCUGAGAGGGUGAUCGGCCACACUGGGACUGAGACACGGCCCAGACUCCUACGGGAGGCAACAAUAGGGAAUCUUCCGCAAUGGACGAAAGUCUGACGGAGCAACGCCGCGUGAGUGACGAAGGUUUUCGGAUCGUAAAACUCUGUUGUGAGGGAAGAACAAGUACCCAGUAACUACUGGUACCUUGACGGUACCUCACCAGAAAGCCACGGCUAACUACCUGGCAGCAGCCGCGGUAAUACGUAAGUGGCAAGCGUUGUCCGGAAUUAUUGGGCGUAAAGCGCGCCCAGGCCGUUCCUUAAGUCCCAUGUGAAAGC